rnacentral:rRNA from 1 species
AAUCCAUAGGUUAAUGAGGCGAACCGGGGGAACUGAAACAUCUAAGUACCCCGAGGAAAAGAAAUCAACCGAGAUUCCCCCAGUAGCGGCGAGCGAACGGGGAGGAGCCCAGAGCCUGAAUCAGCAUGUGUGUUAGUGGAAGCGUCUGGAAAGGCGCGCGAUACAGGGUGAGAGCCCCGUACACAAAAGCGCACGUGCUGUGAGCUCGAUGAGUAGGGCGGGACACGUGGUAUCCUGUCUGAAUAUGGGGGGACCAUCCUCCAAGGCUAAAUACUCCUGACUGACCGAUAGUGAACCAGUACCGUGAGGGAAAGGCGAAAAGAACCCCGGCGAGGGGAGUGAAACAGAACCUGAAACCGUGUACGUACAAGCAGUGGGAGCCCCACCACUAAGCCAGUGGUGAACUCCACAUA